UCACUUGUCUGAAACUUUUGAACCCUAAUUACUAACUCUCACUUCAACUCCAACGCGCCUCCUUCUUCGCGUCGACCUCAUUCUCCAACCUUCCCCUCCUUCCCCUCCAUCUCCACCUCCGACCAUCACCUUUCUCUCUUAUCCUUCUCUCUUGCUCCCUUUUCUUUCCAAACCCUACUCUCUCUCUCUCUCUCUCUCUCUCUCUCUCCCCCUCCCUCCCUAGCUCACACAAAUCUAGCCAUGGCUACUCCCAGGCUUCUCGGUCCUCCUGAGCUCCAAAAACCCUCACGCACCACCACCGCUCCGCCGCCACCCCAACCCGAAUCCAAACCCGGCUCCAAACCCGCCACCGGCAAACCCUUCGUGGACCUGAUGGUGGUGAUCUCUUGGUCAGAUGUCUCUCUCGUUUUCUCUCUCUCCAUCGUCGGUCGCUAGGGGGUGGAUCCGUGGGUUGGCUUCCCCUUUCGUCUAGUCCCACUGAGGUUGGAUCAUUCAGCUGCAAAAUGUCGUCUGACUCGUCACAACCGUUAACUUACUCCAUUACUCUAUCCUAUCAACCCGUCCAGAUCGUCGUUGCCCCCCAUAUCUCCGAUUCCGAUUUCAGGCGAGUCACAGUUGCACUUUGUUUUUACUUUUUAGAAUGUUGUGGUUUUUGGUAUUGUUAAGACCCAGUUAUAAAUAGAGUCAUAGAGAUGUUGAAUUAAGUAGUUUAUAGUCUAUGGCAUCUUGCAGGAGUGCUAUCGAUUCUUCUUUGUUUAAGCAGUGGCUGAAGAACACCCAGAGUGAAAAUGGGAUUUUACACGACGGUUCCAUGUCUCUUACACGAGUUCUAAUUCAGUUUCAUUUAAGCUCUAUGACUUGGAUAACACGGGCUUUAUUGAGCACCAAGAGGUAUUUCGUGUUCAGAGGGAUAUUACCACCACAUUUCCAAGUUUUGUAUUUAAUUCAAAGGUUGAUGAAUUUGGAGAGAUGAGUUUCGGCACAGAAAAAGACUGAAUUUAUGGGGAAGAUCGUCUUGGCUACGGAAAAUCCUAGUGGGUUCAUAAAUGGCAAGUGGAAGGCAACUGGCCCAGUUAUCUCUACAAGAGCCUGAGUGAAUUUAUUGGCUUUGAAUAUAGACCCAAGAGAGAAAAUGGCCAGAAGCAAAUGUUCACUGUUAGAUCAGUGAGGAUCACCCAGCAGAGCAGUGAAGGCAAUCCUAGCUCACCCAAUGGUCCUAUAUAUGGGUGGUGUUGUAAGUUUCCUUUAUCUCAAUAUGGGUUGUUGAUUUUAUGUGUGUGCUUCUUGAAUUUGUUAUGUAUUGUUUGCUUGCUUAGACUGUUGAAAGUUUGAAACUUUCGAAAUGUGAGAUCAUGGGUUUUUAUUUGGUUAGCAGAAAGUGUAUCUCUUACUUGAAGCAGGCUCGAACCACCUCUGUUCUUAGUGUCUUAUGAUCUUGCUCUGAGAAAGUUUAGGCUAAAUGAAGAAACUUGGAUACUAAUUUGUCAAAUAUAUGCAGGUCUUUGGAUUAGUUGAAUUGUCGACUGGCCUAGCUUUUGUAUAUGGUGUGUGGUGAGGCAAGGUGUGCCAUGAGAGUGAAUUGAAGGGUAUCAGUUGUGAGUGUGUUGAAGUCGUAAUCCUGAAAUGUUGUUGCUUUGUUUCAGGGGGUGAACUCGACUUAUGAAAUUCAGUCUGAUGAUGAUUACGAAGUGGGUCAGGGAAGGGCAUUUGCAAGUGGUCGAAGAAAAACUAAGAUUGUCUGUACAAUUGGUCCUUCCACAAGCUGACGUGAAAUGAUAUGGAAACUUGCAGAAACUGGGAUGAAUGUAGUGCGUUUGAAUAUGUCUCAUGGGGACCAUACGUCACACCAAAAAACUAUUGAUCUUGUCAAAGAAUACAGCUCUCAAUUCAAAGACAAGGUUAUAGCCAUAAUGCUGGACACCAAGAUCCUAAGGGUGCAGGGUAGGGAAUGAGUGGAGAGCGCAUGCAUAGAGACUUGUUUUUUUUUUUUUUUUUUUUUUUUUUUGAGUAACCAUCUUGUUUACCUUUGGGUCUGGCUUCUGCUUGUAAGAUCUUGUUAUUAUGCUCUUCUGAAAACUCAACUUUGUAUAUUUGCAAAUGUAGAAAAGUACUGGAACUUGAAAUGGAGCA